AGCUCCAUUAGCGUAUAUUAAAGUUGUUGCGGUUAAAAAGCUCGUAGUUGGAUCUGUGUAUCGGACGGUCGGUUCGCCGCUCGCGGUGUUUGACUGACCGGUCCGGACGUCCUGCCGGUGGGACCCGUUUUGCGCGGGUCCCGGUAACUCCCUCCGCGCUGCUCUUAACCGAGUGGUUCGGUGGGCCGGCACGUUUACUUUGAACAAAUUUGAGUGCUCAAAGCAGGCCUUAUGUUGCCUGAAAACUGUGUGCAUGGAAUAAUGGAAUAGGACCUCGUUUCUAUUUUGUUGGCUUUUCUGAACACGAGGUAAUGAUUAAUAGGGACAGACGGGGGCAUUCGUAUUGCGACGUUAGAGGUGAAAUUCUUGGAUCGUCGCAAGACGGACCGAUGCGAAAGCGUUUGCCAAGAAUGUUUUCGCUAAUCAAGAACGAAAGUUAGAGGUUCGAAGGCGAUCAGAUACCGCCCUAGUUCUAACCAUAAACGAUGCCAGCCAGCGAUGCGCCGAAGUUCCUCCGAUGACUCGGCGUGCAGCUUCCGGGAAACCAAAGCUUUUGGGUUCCGGGGGAAGUA
rnacentral:rRNA from 1 species